AUUGAACGCUGGCGGCAGGCCUAACACAUGCAAGUCGAACGAGCGGCGGACGGGUGAGUAAUGUAUGGGAAACUGCCCGAUGGAGGGGGAUAACUACUGGAAACGGUAGCUAAUACCGCAUACCAUCGGAUGUGCCCAUAUGGGAUUAGCUAGUAGGUGGGGUAAAGGCUCACCUAGGCGACGAUCCCUAGCUGGUCUGAGAGGAUGACCAGCCACACUGGGACUGAGACACGGCCCAGACUCCUACGGGAGGCAGCAGUGGGGAAUAUUGCACAAUGGGCGCAAGCCUGAUGCAGCCAUGCCGCGUGUAUGAAGAAGGCCUUCGGGUUGUAAAGUACUUUCAGCGGGGAGGCGUUACCCGCAGAAGAAGCACCGGCUAACUCCGUGCCAGCAGCCGCGGUAAUAC
rnacentral:rRNA from 1 species